CACCUGACCCCAUGCCGAACUCAGAAGUGAAACGCCGUAGCGCCGAUGGUAGUGUAGGUUCUCCCCAUGCGAGAGUAGGGAACUGCCAGAC
rnacentral:rRNA from 1 species